rnacentral:misc_RNA from 1 species
UUCACCUCGGGGUGCUGGGUAUACAUUUGGCCAGGACAUAUCUGAACAAUUCAAUCACAUGAAUAAUUUAAAGUUGAUAGCUAGAGCUCAUCAACUGGUCAUGGAUGGAUUUAACUGGGCUCAUGAACAAAAGGUGGUUACUAUUUUUAGUGCGCCUAACUAUUGUUAUCGCUGUGGGAACAUGGCUUCAAUUUUAGAGGUUGAUGACUGCCGGAGUCAUACAUUUAUCCAGUUUGAACCGGCACCCAGAAGAGGAGAACCCGAUGUCACCCGUAGAACACCAGAUUACUUCUUAUGAAGCAACCAAGUCAAAUCCUUCCCCUGUAUACCGUGUUAUGGGUUGUGCGUUGUUGUAGGCAGGGAGAACAUGUGACUUAUGCUGCCAUGCAUUGAUGAUUUUGCCUGCGAGACAGACAGAACUUUUUAUAUAGAAAACCCUCUGAUUUGUAUUUGAAGAUCAAGACAUCCUCGAGAUACAAAGAUAUUCAACUUUCUUUCACCCCCUCGGCUCCUUUCUCCAUAAUAUCUCUCAAGUAGUUUAAUUGUUACAAUACUCUUCUAUUGUAGAAAAUUAUAGUUCUGGUAUUUAUCAUGUACUAGGUGUAAGUUAGUUCCGUUAUGUUUGGAAAAAGGCUGUUGAAAUUAUUGGAAUUGUU